rnacentral:rRNA from 1 species
UCGAACGAGAAGUACGUAGCAAUACGUAUUGUAAAGUGGCGCACGGGUGAGUAACACGUGGGUAAUCUGCCCUUGAGUUUGGGAUAACCCCGCGAAAGCGGGGCUAAUACCGAAUAAGACCACGGGGACCAAAGUCCCUGAGGUAAAAGAUGGCCUCUAUUUAUAAGCUAUCACUUGAGGAUGAGCCCGCGGCCCAUUAGCUAGUUGGCAGGGUAACGGCCUACCAAGGCAAUGAUGGGUAGCUGGUCUGAGAGGACGAUCAGCCACACUGGAACUGAGACACGGUCCAGACUCCUACGGGAGGCAGCAGUGGGGAAUAUUGCGCAAUGGGCGAAAGCCUGACGCAGCAACGCCGCGUGGGGGAUGAAGGUUCUCGGAUUGUAAACCCCUUUCGACCGGAACGAAUCCCCUCCUGGUAAAUAAUCAGGAGGAUCGACGGUACCGGGAGAAGAAGCCACGGCUAACUCUGUGCCAGCAGCCGCGGUAAGACAGAGGUGGCUAGCGUUGUUCGGAUUUAUUGGGCGUAAAGCGAACGCAGGCGGUUUGGUAAGUCAGGGGUGAAAGACCACGGCUUAACCGUGGUAUUGCCUUUGAUACUGCCUUUCUUGAGUAGAGUAGGGGGAAGCGGAAUUCCGAGUGUAGAGGUGAAAUUCGUAGAUAUUCGGAGGAACACCGGUGGCGAAGGCGGCUUCCUGGACUCUAACUGACGCUCAUGUUCGAAAGCGUGGGGAGCAAACAGGAUUAGAUACCCUGGUAGUCCACGCCCUAAACGAUGGGUACUAGGUGUGGGAGGUAUCGAC